UUAGAAAAUCAAUAAAAAUACUUGUGUCAAAGAAAUAUUUGUAUACUGUUUCACACUUACUAGAUUGGAGAUUGGAAAGGAAGAAGUAAAACUUUUUACCAUCAAUGUAAAAAGUUUGAUAGAAUCUACAAAAUAACUAAUGAGUAAGUUUAGAAAGACUGCAGAGUUCAAGGUCAAUGUACACAAAUAAACACAUGGUAUUUCUCUACAGUAGCAGAGAAAACCCCAGUAGACAUAUUUGUAUUAACUGGUACUCUGACUCAGCAGUUAUCAUCAAUUUUUACCUCAAAACCUGUAAAAAUAUAAUUUACUUUAAUUUACUUUGGCAUUGUAAUUGCUGACUGGGAAGCAAAAUAAACAGACUGCAGAUAAUGCAUGCAUCUUCUACAGAGGGAAGAAAUACAUGAUGAUUAAUUAUUAUAAAACUGUAUAAUAAAAUGAGCUAUAACUACAGAG
rnacentral:lncRNA from 1 species